rnacentral:rRNA from 1 species
UACGAAGGGGGCUAGCGUUGCUCGGAAUCACUGGGCGUAAAGGGCGCGUAGGCGGCUUAUCAAGUCGGGGGUGAAAGCCCGUGGCUCAACCACGGAAUGGCCUUCGAUACUGGUAGGCUUGAGACCGGAAGAGGACAGCGGAACUGCGAGUAUAGAGGUGAAAUUCGUAGAUAUUCGCAAAGAACACCAGUGGCGAAGGCGGCUCACUGGCCCGAUACUGACGCUGAGGCACGAAAGCGUGGGGAGCAAACAGG